UCCUACGGGGCGCAGCAGUAGGGAAUUUUCGUCAAUGGGCGCAAGCCUGAACGAGCAAUGCCGCGUGAACGAGGAAGGUCUUCGGAUCGUAAAGUUCUGUUGCAGGGGAAAAAGAGCGGAGAGAGGAAAUGGUCUCCGAUUGAUAUUACCCUUCGAGGAAGUCACGGCUAACUACGUGCCAGCAGCCGCGGUAAUACGUAGGCGGCGAGCGUUAUCCGGAAUGAUUGGGCGUAAAGGGUGCGUAGGCGGCCUGCUAAGUCUGGAGUGAAAGGUACCGGCUCAACCGGUACAGGCUCUGGAAACUG
rnacentral:rRNA from 1 species